UACGGAGGGUGCAAGCGUUAUCCGGAUUUACUGGGUUUAAAGGGUGCGUAGGUGGGUAGGUAAGUCAGUGGUGAAAUCUUCGAGCUUAACUCGGAAACUGCCAUUGAUACUAUUUAUCUUGAAUACUUUGGAGGUAAGCGGAAUAUGUCAUGUAGCGGUGAAAUGCUUAGAUAUGACAUAGAACACCAAUUGCGAAGGCAGCUUACUACACAGUUAUUGACACUGAGGCACGAAAGCGUGGGGAUCAAACGGG
rnacentral:rRNA from 1 species